rnacentral:rRNA from 1 species
AUGCCUCAGGGAGAUUACAUAGAGCUUCACCAGAAGCGCCAUGGCCGGCGCAUGGACUACGAGGAGCGCAAGCGCAAGAAGGAGGCGCGCGCGGUCAAGAAGAACUCCAAGGAUGCCCGCAAGUUGCUCGGUGCCAAGGGCAAGAGGUUCGCCAAGAAGCGGUAUGCCGAGAAGGCGCAGAUGAAGAAGACCCUGAAAAUGCAUGACGAGUCUUCUUCCCGGCAGAAGGUUGAUGAUGAUGUUGAGGAGGGCGCCAUUCCUUCGUAUCUGCUGGAUCGUGAUCCGACACAGCGCGCCAAGGUUCUCAGCAACACAAUUAAGCAAAAGAGGAAGGAAAAGGCUGGCAAAUGGGAUGUUCCUUUGCCAAAGGUCAGACCUGUUGCUGAAGAAGAGAUGUUCAAAGUUCUACGCACUGGCAAGCGGAAAACCAAGCAGUGGAAGAGAAUGGUAACUAAAGCCACCUUUGUUGGCCCUGGAUUUACAAGGAAGCCACCAAAGUACGAGAGGUUCAUCCGGCCUACUGGUCUGCGUUUCACCAAGGCUCAUGUGACUCACCCUGAACUGAAAUGUACGUUCAACCUCGACAUAAUUUCGGUGAAGAAAAACCCAAAUGGUCCAAUGUACACUUCUCUUGGUGUUAUGACGAGGGGAACAAUUAUUGAGGUGAAUGUAAGUGAACUUGGUCUCGUAACCCCUGCUGGAAAAGUUGUUUGGGGCAAAUACGCACAGGUUACGAAUAACCCGGAGAACGAUGGAUGUAUCAAUGCUGUCUUGCUCGUGUGA